UUACGGCCAUAUCACGUUGAAACACCGGUUCUCGUACGAUCACUGAAGUUAAGCAAUAUCGGGCCGGGUCAGUACCUAGGCGGGUCACUGCUUGCGAAUAUCAGCUGCUGUAG